rnacentral:misc_RNA from 1 species
GGAAGAUGCAAUGUCAAGUAAAGCCAAGCCAAGCCUUCCAAAAAUCCCAAUCCCCUACCCACCCCUCAUAGAAAGAGAAGCAUGUGAAAAUUACAAAAAGAACAACCACAAAAAUCAUCAUUGCCAUCCUCCUGUUCUUCUACAUCUUCUCCUCUCUUGAUUCUCACCUACUACCCUCACCCACCUCCUCAAUUUGCACAAAGCAAGCUCCUCAAUUCUACUUUAAACCACUCCUCUCUCUUCCACACUUUUUUUUCCCCUUCUUGAGUCCACCCUUUUCGCUGAAUUAAUGGAUCAAUGUCAGCAACCCACAAGCCAAAACGGAUAUAGAAAGUAGGGGGAAAAGCUCCAAUACUUUGUAGGUAAUCAAUCUGCUCUUUUUAACAACUCUGUUUUGCUAUGUCCUGUUAUGUUCUCUUUCCUUCUAAACCAGUCUUUCUGUUUUUAAAUCUUGCCCUCAGUUUCUUGCAUUGAUCCUUCAAAGUUUCUUGAAGGGAUUAUCACUAUCGAAAUGGGUAAAUACAUGUAGGAAUAUAUAGGAUCUUCCAGAGCAUCACUUCUUGCGGGUUUGUUCUGUGUCAAUUCUGUUUUUUGUUCUGCUCUUCACUCUGUAAGAGCUUUUCUUGGCAAAUAUAACCCAAAAGGAUAGAAAGUCUUCAAACUCCUUGAAUCAUCAUAUUCAAAAGUCUUUUUCCUAGCAAUGGAUUCUUUCAAUCAAACUUCUGGGUUCCGGUAUAACCCAAAUUCGAACACAAUGGGUGAUGGUGAUUCUGAAGAGUCAGGGAUUCUUGAAAUCUAUGUUCAUCAUGCUAGGAAUAUUCACAACAUAUGUAUCUAUGAUAACCAAGAUGUCUAUGCAAAAUUUUCUCUUACUUACAACCCAGAUGAGACCCACUCAACUAGAAUUAUCCAUGGAGGUGGCAAGAACCCAGAAUUCAAUGAAAAACUGGUGAUCAAAGUAGCCCAACUUGAUGCAGUUCUCAAGUGUGAGAUUUGGAUGCUUAGUAGAGCUAGAAACUUCAUGGAGGAUCAGCUUUUAGGAUUUGCUCUGGUUCCAAUUUCACAAGUUGUUGGCAAAGGAAAGGUGACUCAAGAUCAUAGCCUCUCCUCCACUGAUUUCUUUCACUCCCCUGCUGGCACUGUCCAACUGACUCUUUCUCUGAACACAGCUUUGCCUUUGAAUCCCUCUGCAGCUUCUAAUUCUUCCAUAUCAGCUGAAGUUGUGUUGCUUGACAGGAAAAUAUCCGAAGUAAUUAUUGAUCCUGUUGAGUAUUCGAGGAUUGAAUUUCCUGAUAUCAAUGUUGUCACUGAGAAUCAGCAAAUGGUAUCUGAGUAUUAUGAUGGUUUGGGUUCAAGGCCUGGCUCAUUUCUUCAUCUUGGUGCCUCUCCUCAUCUUACUGUUGUAGACUAUGAAAUGAACAUAAAUUCCUCCGAGGAAAAUCAAGGAGGUUCCACUUCUCCCAAUGAUAGCAUCCAAAAUUCAGGUUUCUUGAGCUCCACCACCACUAGCUUAAGCGAUGAUCGAAACUCCACCGAUUCGAUUGACAAAAAGGGGCUCCUAUGCACUCAUUCUUCAAACUCCCUCAACAUUUCGAUCACCACAGAGGCAAAUCAUGGCUCGAGCACUUGCCCUGACACUCCGACCUCAAAGAAAGGAAGUGAAAUGAAAGAGGAAAAGGACUCGAACUUUUUGAGCAAAGAGGAUGAAGGAAACAAGGAAGGGACUAUAAAUUCUGUUAAAUUUGGUCAAGUAUUUUCAUCUCCAUUAGGGAAUAUCAAUCUUGAGGCAGAGCAAUCUGCAAUGCAGCAACAAAUAGUAGACAUGUACAUGAGGAGUAUGCAACAGUUCACUGAAUCUUUAGCCAAGAUGAAGCUCCCUAUGGAUCUUGACAAGCCUGAACGUGAAGAUCCUGGCGAUUUGAUCCAAGGGCAUAGCAAUAAACUAGAGCUUGAGAAGAAGCAGAAAAAGGAAGGAUCGCGGGUGUUCUAUGGAAGCAGGGCAUUCUUCUAAUUUUAUUUAACUGCUGCUGCAUGUAUGUUAUCUAGGUUUGUUCUUCCAGGAUAUGGAGUUUAAUUUAAUUUAUUGAGACUAUGGUUUCUGUGGGCUUCAUUUUGUGGUAUUUGCGACUGAAAUUAGUUCUCUUGUAGUCUUGUUUUAACCAUUUCUUCUUCUAAUGUGUUUCAUUAACCAUUACGAAUCCAUAAUUCAUGCUGUGUUGUGUUUGCUUUCCUUUGCCUUUCCAAGCAAUUUAUUUAGGACGUUUCCUAUGUUGUUUUCUAGUGAAAUAAUAAAUUCAAAUGUGUCAGAGGAUUAUGAGAGAUCACUCUAAUAUUUGCAGUGUAGGCUGUAAAUUAAAUAUGGGGUCCAAACUGUUGUCACAGGACAUAGAUAAUUACUUUACUUGCCUGACGUAGAGACAGAGAGUCCACUUCUCCAUAAGAAAUAAAG